rnacentral:hammerhead_ribozyme from 1 species
AUCUAGCUGAUAAGUCCCAAAUAGGACGAAACGCGUGUCAGGCUGGAU